UGAUCGUUUCAGUAAGGUCUCAAUAAGUUUGAUUAAAACCUGCUACAGUUGAACUUUCUAAGCAGUUUGGUCAGGAGCUGAGUUGGAGAAUACUCUGUACUUCUCCUGGAAAGCUGUCAUUCCAGUAUAUGAAGAAGUGGAUCAUCUCUCUUGGGGAUAAAAAAAAAAAAGAAAAAGAAAGAGUUAUUUACCCUCUGAUCAAGUCUGCCCCCUGAAUUUCCUGUGACUGAAGAACACAUUUCCUUCUAUCUUCUGCUUCUGAAUGGAAGAAACAGCCUCAAAAGAUCAAGAAACAGAUGGACUGUUCUUGUUGAUUCUCUCACAAAUGAAGGUCUAGUUGCCAGUGGCUUUAGUUUCAUUGGAAGAGGCAGCUGCUAUGAUACAACAAAGUGGGAAGAUUAAACGAUUUGGGGCCAGUGAGUUCACCCAGGAGAGAAGGGGUGGAGAAGACAGUGUCUAGGCACAGUGAGUCACUUGUGUUGGGAGAGCAAGUGCCUGGACAAGAGUCCAACUGAAGACAGAUGCAGCAAUUCCAAGUGCCACUGGUGGGACAUUUGCUUGAGCAGAGAAAGGGUGAGGGAGGAGCCCUCACACACCUGAGUUUUGAUUUGAUCUCUAAAAUAGUGCCUGCCACUCUGCUCUUCAUUGGUGUGGUGCCAUUGCCUGUCU